CCUACGGGAGGCAGCAGUGAGGAAUAUUGGGCAAUGGGCGCGAGCCUGACCCAGCCAAGUAGCGUGAAGGAUGAAUGCCCUACGGGUUGUAAACUUCUUUUAUAAGGGAAUAAAGUGAGUCACGUGUGCCUUUUUGUAUGUACUUUAUGAAUAAGGAUCGGCUAACUCCGUGCCAGCAGCCGCGGUAAUACGGAGGAUCCGAGCGUUAUCCGGAUUUAUUGGGUUUAAAGGGAGCGUAGAUGGGUUGUUAAGUCAGUUGUGAAAGUUUGCGGCUCAACCGUAAAAUUGCAAUUGAUACUGGCAGUCUUGAGUGCAGUUGAGGUAGGCGGAAUUCGUGGUGUAGCGGUGAAAUGCUUAGAUAUCACGAAGAACUCCGAUUGCGAAGGCAGCUUACUAAACUGCAACUGACAUUGAUGCUCGAAAGUGUGGGUAUCAAACAGGAUUAGAUACCCCUGUAGUC
rnacentral:rRNA from 1 species